rnacentral:rRNA from 1 species
CAAUAGCGUAUAUUAAAGUUGUUGCGGUUAAAAAGCUCGUAGUUGGAGUUCUGCCAGGUGCCGCCUGUCCGCCCCAGUGGUGAGUACGUGGCGCGCAUUUGGCCCUUUCAAGGGGAGCGUAUCUGCACUUUAUUGUGUGGUGCGGGAUCCUUGACUUUUACUUUGAGGAAAUAGGAGUGUUCCAAGCAGGCUCUCGUCGUGCACAGCUCAGCAUGGAAUAAUAGCAUUGGACCUCGAUUCUAAGCUGUUGGUUGCCAGAAGCGAGGUAAUGAUGAAGAGGGAUAGUUGGGGGCAUUCGUAUUUAACUGUCAGAGGUGAAAUCCUUGGAUUUGUUAAAGACGGACUACUGCGAAAGCAUCUGCCAGGGAUGUUUUCAUUGA